GAUGAAGAACGCAGCAAAAUGCGAUAAGUAAUGUGAAUUGCAGAAUUCAGUGAAUCAUCGAAUCUUUGAACGCACAUUGCGCCCUUUGGUAUUCCAAAGGGCAUGCCUGUUCGAGCGUCAUUUGUACCCUCAAGCUUUGCUUGGUGUUGGGCGUCUUGUCUCUAGCUUUGCUGGAGACUCGCCUUAAAGUAAUUGGCAGCCGGCCUACUGGUUUCGGAGCGCAGCACAAGUCGCACUCUCUAUCAGCAAAGGUCUAGCAUCCAUUAAGCCUUUUUUUCAACUUUUGACCUCGGAUCAGGUAGGGAUACCCGCUGAACUUAAGCAUAUCAAUAAGCGGAGGA
rnacentral:misc_RNA from 1 species